rnacentral:rRNA from 1 species
AAAUUGAAGAGUUUGAUCAUGGCUCAGAUUGAACGCUGGCGGCAGGCCUAACACAUGCAAGUCGAACGGUAACAGGAAGCAGCUUGCUGCUUCGCUGACGAGUGGCGGACGGGUGAGUAAUGUCUGGGAAACUGCCUGAUGGAGGGGGAUAACUACUGGAAACGGUAGCUAAUACCGCAUAACGUCGCAAGACCAAAGAGGGGGACCUUCUGGCCUCUUGCCAUCGGAUGUGCCCAGAUGGGAUUAGCUAGUAGGUGGGGUAACGGCUCACCUAGGCGACGAUCCCUAGCUGGUCUGAGAGGAUGACCAGCCACACUGGAACUGAGACACGGUCCAGACUCCUACGGGAGGCAGCAGUGGGGAAUAUUGCACAAUGGGCGCAAGCCUGAUGCAGCCAUGCCGCGUGUAUGAAGAAGGCCUUCGGGUUGUAAAGUACUUUCAGCGGGGAGGAAGGGAGUAAAGUUAAUACCUUU